rnacentral:rRNA from 1 species
GACGAACGCUGGCGGCGUGCUUAACACAUGCAAGUCGAACGGAAAGGCCCUGCUUUUGUGGGGUGCUCGAGUGGCGAACGGGUGAGUAACACGUGAGUAACCUGCCCUUGACUUUGGGAUAACUUCAGGAAACUGGGGCUAAUACCGUAUAGGAGCUCCUGCUGCAUGGUGGGGGUUGGAAAUUUUCGGCGGUUGGGGAUGGACUCGCGGCUUAUCAGCUUGUUGGUGGGGUAGUGGCUUACCAAGGCUUGGACGGGUAGCCGGCCUGAGAGGGUGACCGGCCACAUUGGGACUGAGAGACGGCACAGACGCCGAAGGGAGGCAGAAGUGGGGAAUAUUGAACAAUGGGCGGAAGCCUGAUGAAGAAACGCCGCGUGCGGGAUGACGGCCUUGGGGUUGUAAACCGCUAUCGCCUGUGACGAAGCGUGAGUGACGGUAAUGGGUAAAGAAGCAACGGCUAAAUACGGG